rnacentral:lncRNA from 1 species
GGGGGUGUCAUAUUUACCAAACACCCCCCUUGUAUACGCCACUGGUUUCCAGUGUGACUCGCUUUUUCAAUGAUCAUUAACAAAUAACAAGGACAAGUAAAACAAGCGUAUGGACUGAAUUUUGAAAAUUUAUGCUUCUCACAUGGAUAACUGUGUGUGGCCUAUAGUAUACUCACGUGUCAAAUUGUGUACACAAUACAAAAGGAAAAACAAAAAAAUAUUGUAUAAUCCACAUACACUUUAAUAAAUAGCAUUUAUUUAGAACCUCGAACUGUCAGACUUUUCUCAAUAAAAUGAAUAAAUAAAAUAAUAAUAAUCCAAAAUAAGAAGGUAUAGGUUCAACGGUAACACCCAAAAAGAAUUGAACACUCAAAAUUUUCUCAACGGACAACGUCAGGUAUAACUCACUUAUUGAUCAUCGCUACAUCUCAAAACUAUAUGAACUUGAAAUUUGAAAUGGUGGUCUCUCCAAUAUACAAAACAUGCAAUAAGAAGGGAUUUUAAAAAAAUAUUGGAACCAGCAAAUACGGAAAUUCAGAGUUAUACCGAACUUGGCUUUAAUUAGUGUAAAGUAAUAAAACCUAUGUCACGGCCAAGAAUUUUCCGUGCGAAGCCGGUUAUCACUGUUGAUGUCGACCCGGAUUUAAAAUCAAAUUAGUUCGCCGAAAUGCCCAAAUAUACGGAGUCGAUGCAGAAAUCGACUUCCGUGUAGGCGAUUGUUUCAACAUUUUAGACCGGGUUCGUGCAGAUGCAGUGGUGACAUCGCCGCCGUGGGGCGGACCCGGCUAUUCCAGACAUUUCGACGCGAAUGAUCUGUGUAGCCGGGAAGCGGGUGGCAUGUCAAGCAUCCUCAGUAUGGCAAGGAAAAUCGCUCCUCGAACUGUACUACACGUGCCGAAGACCGUUGACUGAGAACAGUGUUUACACUUAUCGAGAAACGCAAACUUCGGCCGUGUAGAGUUUGAGGACGUGAUGAUCGAUGAACGGCAGAAUUGCACAAAUAUAUAUUUGAAAUUGCGACAGGAUAACAGGCGACUCGGACCUGCUGUCACUACAAAUUGGAAUUGGACACCGAAUAUAAAAAUCGGUGGUGACGUUCUAAUAGCCUUAAUACAUAUUCCACCUAUUUGGAGAAAACUACACAAUUUUUGAACUCCAAAUAACUGACUUCUGGGACAUUUUUCCAAUAUUUUUUUGUUUCUAUUUUUUUUCUUAAUUUUUUU